UUGAACGCUGGCGGUAUGCUUUACACAUGCAAGUCGAACGGCAGCACGGGGCAACCUGGUGGCGAGUGGCGAACGGGUGAGUAACAUAUCGGAACAUGUCCGGAAGUGGGGGAUAACGUACCGAAAGGUACGCUAAUACCGCAUAUGCCCUGAGGGGGAAAGGGGGGGAUCGCAAGACCUCUCGCUUUCGGAGUGGCCGAUAUCGGAUUAGCUAGAUGGUGAGGUAAAGGCUCACCAUGGCGACGAUCCGUAGCUGGUCUGAGAGGAUGAUCAGCCACACUGGGACUGAGACACGGCCCAGACUCCUACGGGAGGCAGCAGUGGGGAAUUUUGGACAAUGGGCGCAAGCCUGAUCCAGCCAUGCCGCGUGAGUGAAGAAGGCCUUCGGGUUGUAAAGCUCUUUCAGACGGAAAGGAAUCGGGCGCGUGAAUAGCGUGCCUGGAUGACGGUACUGUCAGAAGAAGCACCGGCUAACUACGU
rnacentral:rRNA from 1 species